UAGUGAAUGAAUGAAUGUAACUCGACGCGUGAUGCCAAUCAACCCGAUAUUUUUUCUAUACCAACGUUAUUUCGUAGCUGUGUUCGCGAAAUGGUUUCAGUCAGAGAGGAAUGGCUUUGAAAAUCUAAUUAUUAUAUACCCAUGCAUUUCCUUAGCGAUAUCGUACUACAAUGAUUUCGUAAAAAUGUAGUCGUAACAAACAAAUGGUAAAUGAUCUGAACAUCUUAAGUAAAUUUGUUACCUGCUAAUUGAAUUAUUCAAUUAGGGCUAUGAAACGUUUGCAAUUAAGUCUGAGAAUCAUGGUUUAGAAUACUAGUUAGUUCCGCGUUC